AGAGUUUGAUCCUGGCUCAGGACGAACGCUGGCGGCACGCCUAACACAUGCAAGUCGAGCGGAGAUUGAGAGCUUGCUCUCAUGAUCAGCGGCGGACGGGUGAGUAACACGUGAGCAACCUGCCUUUCAGAGGGGGACAACAGUUGGAAACGACUGCUAAUACCGCAUAACAUAUUCGAACGGCAUCGUUUGAAUAUCAAAGGAGCAAUCCGCUGAAAGAUGGGCUCGCGUCUGAUUAGAUAGUUGGUGGGGUAACGGCCCACCAAGUCGACGAUCAGUAGCCGGACUGAGAGGUUGAUCGGCCACAUUGGGACUGAGACACGGCCCAGACUCCUACGGGAGGCAGCAGUGAGGGAUAUUGGGCAAUGGGGGAAACCCUGACCCAGCAACGCCGCGUGAGGGAUGACGGUUUUCGGAUUGUAAACCUCUGUCCUCUGUGAAGAUAGUGACGGUAGCAGAGGAGGAAGCUCCGGCUAACUACGUGCCAGCAGCCGCGGUAAUACGUAGGGAGCAAGCGUUGUCCGGAUUUACUGGGUGUAAAGGGUGCGUAGGCGGAUUGGCAAGUCAGAAGUGAAAUCCAUGGGCUUAACCCAUGAACUGCUUUUGAAACUGUUAGUCUUGAGUGAAGUAGAGGUAGGCGGAAUUCCCGGUGUAGCGGUGAAAUGCGUAGAGAUCGGGAGGAACACCAGUGGCGAAGGCGGCCUACUGGGCUUUAACUGACGCUGAGGCACGAAAGUGUGGGUAGCAAACAGGAUUAGAUACCCUGGUAGUCCACACUGUAAACGAUGAUUACUAGGUGUGGGGGGUCUAACCCCCUCCGUGCCGGAGUUAACACAAUAAGUAAUCCACCUGGGGAGUACGACCGCAAGGU
rnacentral:rRNA from 1 species